rnacentral:lncRNA from 1 species
GAAGAAACAAAAGAGGGAGAUGAAGUGGGUGAGGUUGCAGGAGGUAAUGAGAGAGAUCGGUAAAAAGAGGAAGAGUUUGAAUAGAAGACAAGGGGUGAAAUGUUUCGAUGCCCUGGUGAUGAUGUUUGUGGCAUAUUAUUGCUUUAACAUAAAUUACCCCUCUGACCUGGCAGCAACACUGGAGUUCAAGCAGAGGGACUAAAGUGGGCAACUGAUCGCAUUUCACACGUUGGGUUGGCGGCCCGACUCAUUUGGAGGUUGAAGGAUAUCCCACCCUGACGCCCUGCAGAUGUAGCCCUUUUCUGCAGUCAAAUCGCCCUUUAGUAAACUCAUGGGUGGAAUGUUAUUCAUAUUUUUUAUAUUUUCAUAACGAAAAAAACUCCACUCAAACUAUCGUUUGGUAUUUGUUUAAUUAGUCCAUUGUUGACAUAGUCCCAAAAUGUUUUGCUUGUCAGCAAUCAAAUUUUUAAGAUCCAGAAAUCAUCCCCUGUAUAAUACAUUUUCCAUCAUAUUGUUGUGGCAGAUAUUUGGGUGAGCUGUUGUAACUUCUCAAGAGUUAUGUUAUUGUUCUGUGUUGAACUGUGAUGUCAUGCAUUUCAUAGACUCCUGUUAUCACUGCAGCCUAACACA